UCUGGCUCCACUCUAAAUUUUGAUCAGAAAAGAGCCCCAAGAUUGAGAUGGAAUGGAAGUGUGGAAAAAUGAGACCCUCAGGAAAAGAAGUAAACACCUUUGAUCUUUGGUAUCACACUGGGUGGUGAAUCUAAAAGAUUCCCGACAUUGGAUCAGCUGAAAUCUUCAACAGGAAGCUCAAGUUUAUGGAGCACCGCCUUCACUGAAGGAGAACAGGAAUGGAUAACUCUGCACACCAGGUCACACAGACGACUCAGAGUGAACAGGCAGGCUUGAUUCCCUUGAUAAAAAUUCAAAAAGACCAAAGACCCCAGUUUCUGGAAGAUGAAAAAAGGCAACUUUCCUAUGUUAAAAAUCAAAUUGCAUGAAGAGUAUGAAGAGACAAAUCACAGACAGAGAGAAAAUAUUGUAGACCACGUGUCUGACGGAGGGCUUUUAUUCAAAAUAUUCAAAGACUUUUCAAAAUUGAAAAGAAUGGACCAAAGACCAGAAUUGUACACCUCAGCAAAGAAGAUACAUGGAUGGCAAAUAAGCAUAUGGAAAGAUGCUCAACAUCCUAUGUCUUUAGGGAAUUACAGAUAAAAACAACGAUGUGAUGCAACUGCAUGCUUAUCAGAAUGACUAAAUCUAAAAAACGGACAAUACCAAAUGGUGACAAGAAUGCAGAGCAAAAGGAAUGCUUAUUUGUCGCUGGGGGGAAUGCAGAAUGGGACAUCCACUUUGGAAGGCAGUUUGGCAGUUUCUUAUAAAACGACAUGGUCUUACCAUAUAACCCAACAACUGAAUUGAGAACUGUUCACGCAAAGACCUGUACAUUAAUGUGCAUGGCAACUUUAUUCAUAUUUGCCCUACAGACAAGAUAUCCUUUAAA